UACGUAGGCAGCAAGCGUUGUUCGGAAUUACUGGGCGUAAAGGGUGCGUAGGCGGCUUUUUAAGUUUGUCGUGAAAUCUCCCGGCUCAACCGGGAGGGUGCGGCGAAUACUGAGAAGCUAGAGUGUGGGAGAGGAAAGUGGAAUUCCUGGUGUAGCGGUGAAAUGCGUAGAUAUCAGGAGGAACACCGGUGGUGUAAACGGCUUUCUGGACCAUAACUGACGCUGAGGCACGAAAGCGUGGGUAGCAAACAGGAUUAGAUACCCUGGUAGUCCACGCCCUAAACGAUGCAUAUUUGGUGUGGGCCAUUCAUUUGGUCCGUGCCGGAGCUAACGCGUUAAAUAUGCCGCCUGGGGAGUACAGUCGCAAGGCUG
rnacentral:rRNA from 1 species